rnacentral:rRNA from 1 species
UACGAAGGGGGCUAGCGUUGCUCGGAAUCACUGGGCGUAAAGCGCGCGCAGGUGGUUCUUUAAGUCUGAUGUGAAAGCCCACGGCUCAACCGUGGAAGGUCAUUGGAAACUGGGGAACUUGAGUGCAGAAGAGGAAAGUGGAAUUCCAAGUGUAGCGGUGAAAUGCGUAGAUAUUUGGAGGAACACCAGUGGCGAAGGCGACUUUCUGGUCUGUAACUGACACUGAGGCGCGAAAGCGUGGGGAGCAAACAGG